rnacentral:rRNA from 1 species
GACGAACGCUGGCGGCGUGCCUAACACAUGCAAGUCGAACGAAGUGGCGAACGGGUGAGUAACGCGUAAUCAACCUGCCCUUCAGAGGGGGACAACCCUUGGAAACGACUGCUAAUACCGCAUACUGAAGGAGGGGAUGGCGACUGAUUAGCUAGGUGGGGGGGGAACGGCCCACCAAGGCGAUGAGCAGUAGCCGGGCUGAUGGGAAUAACCGCCAAGUUGGGACUGGUGCACGGCCCUGAAGCCGACGGGAGGGAGCAGGGGGGAAACAUCCGCAAUGGGGGGAAGUCUGACGGAGGAAAGCCGGGGGGGAGAUGACGGCCUUCGGGUUGUAAAGCUAUGUUAAGCGGGACGCGGUACCGGAAUAGAAAGCAACGGCUAACUCCGUGCCAGCAGCCGCGGUAAGUC